rnacentral:lncRNA from 1 species
UUUUAUUAAGUUAGGAUGUAAUCAAUUAAGUAUUUAGGUUAAGUGUAUAUUUGGACUAUUUGUAACCUAUUGUACUCAGAAUCCGUUUAUGUAAUCACUUUGUAGCAUUCAAACCUUAUUUCCAUAUUUUAAUUAUGCUUAUUCAAUUAAAGCACUUUUGAAGCUACAAAUUCAAUUUUGGUCAUUCUGUUUUGUUGGUUUUGCUGUUACAAUAUUUCUUCCCUUGCAAAUCACCACAUUUAACUGGCACACGCUCUACUUAGGACGUACACACUAAUGAAGCGACGGAACUUGGAGUGCCUGGAACAUCUUUAAGAAAUUACCCUCAAACCAAAACCUUUAUACUUUGAUGGCACGAAAUAUUUAGAAUAGGACAAAUCCCAAAUUAUUUACUACUAUAGCUUAUGGCCGGUAAUAUGCUUCACUCAUCUUUCAUAAUCAAUGUAAACAUUUUG